rnacentral:rRNA from 1 species
AGAGCGAACGCUGGCGGCAUGCUUAACACAUGCAAGUCGCACGGGCACUUCGGUGUCAGUGGCGGACGGGUGAGUAACGCGUAGGUAUCUAUCCUUGGGUGGGGGACAACUGUGGGAAACUACAGCUAAUACCGCAUGAUAACUGAGGUUUAAAGGCGCAAGUCGCCUGAGGAGGAGCCUGCGUACGAUUAGCUAGUUGGUGGGGUAAAGGCCUACCAAGGCGACGAUCGUUAGCUGGUCUGAGAGGAUGAUCAGCCACAUUGGGACUGAGACACGGCCCAAACUCCUACGGGAGGCAGCAGUGGGGAAUAUUGGACAAUGGGCGCAAGCCUGAUCCAGCAAUGCCGCGUGCAGGAAGAAGGUUUUCGGAUCGUAAACUGCUUUCUCGGGGAAGAGAACGGACGGUACCCGAGGAAUCAGCCCGGCUAACUACGCGCCAGCAGCCGC